rnacentral:rRNA from 1 species
GUGGGGAAUCUUGCGCAAUGGGCGAAAGCCUGACGCAGCCAUGCCGCGUGAAUGAUGAAGGUCUUAGGAUUGUAAAAUUCUUUCACCGGGGACGAUAAUGACGGUACCCGGAGAAGAAGCCCCGGCUAACUUCGUGCCAGCAGCCGCGGUAAUACGAAGGGGGCUAGCGUUGCUCGGAAUUACUGGGCGUAAAGGGCGCGUAGGCGGACAGCUUAGUCAGAGGUGAAAGCCCAGGGCUCAACCUUGGAAUUGCCUUCGAUACUGGCUGUCUUGAGUUUGGGAGAGGUGAGUGGAACUCCGAGUGUAGAGGUGAAAUUCGUAGAUAUUCGGAAGAACACCAGUGGCGAAGGCGACUCACUGGCCCAAUACUGACGCUGAGGCGCGAAAGCGUGGGGAGCAAACAGGAUUAGAAACCCCGGUAGUCC